AUUGAACGCUGGCGGCAUGCUUUACACAUGCAAGUCGAACGGUAACAGGUCUUCGGAUGCUGACGAGUGGCGAACGGGUGAGUAAUAUAUCGGAACGUACCUUUCAGUGGGGGAUAACGUAGCGAAAGUUACGCUAAUACCGCAUAUUCUGUGAGCAGGAAAGCAGGGGAUCGCAAGACCUUGCGCUGAUUGAGCGGCCGAUAUCAGAUUAGCUAGUUGGUGAGAUAAAGGCUCACCAAGGCGACGAUCUGUAGCGGGUCUGAGAGGAUGAUCCGCCACACUGGAACUGAGACACGGUCCAGACUCCUACGGGAGGCAGCAGUGGGGAAUUUUGGACAAUGGGCGCAAGCCUGAUCCAGCCAUGCCGCGUGAGUGAAGAAGGCCUCGGUUGUAAGA
rnacentral:rRNA from 1 species